AGUUUACAUAAAAAAUCAUACUUUUACGGUGGCGUGGUGGGAGUGGUAUUAAUUGCCUCUGGCAGAAUUGAUUGCUAUUGAUUUUUCCUCCCCAAAUCCCAUCUCCGUUCUUGCCCCUGGAACACCGCCCAGGCGAUUUUGGCAGAAUCACCGGAGCUGCUCCAUGCUGGACCUGCCACACACCGGACUGCGGCUGCUCGUGCAAACGGUGGUGCGGCCUUGUGUUCUCUGUGCAACUGUGAACAUAUAUACCCAUUCUUGACCAAAAUCAUCAAAUCCUUCAUCUGCCCACUCAACUCCCUUGUUGGUGUGUCCAUAGUCACAAAAUUCCUGGGUCGACCGAGUCGAGGGUCGUCGCUUUAUAAAAUUGUGGUACAAAGGGGUAUACCUCUAUGGAAUGAUAAAUUAUUAUGUGGAACGUGACUCUGAUUCAUCCGGGUCAAUAUUUUCGGGUCAAUGCGUCUUUAAAAAGACAAAAACUAUAUAUGUGCUACUAAUGAAAAAACUAAUCUACACAAGCAUAUAAGAAAUGUAUAAAAAGAAUACAUUUAGACCAUAGUACACGUACUCGGCUCAUUAUCUAACAAAAACCACACCAUUAACCUUCUUAUCUCAAUUAAAUCUGCUAGUAAUGGUGCUGCGACUCCUCUCAAACCGGGACGCGAUCCAAUUUUGAAUAGGACACUGACCCUCUUUGAUUCUGACCCUCGAAUCGGAACGACGUUCCCGGGUCGUGGGACGAGACAUCGACCCCGAAUCCCGUGACUAUGGGUGUAUCCCCUGGUGCAAUAGAGAGGCAGCUAGGCUGCUAACGUCAAUCUGCUGCACACAUCUUGGAUGCAGUUCUUUGGGUGGUAAGCCGCAGAAGACACGGGCCAAGCAGCAAUCAGAGUCGCCGACCAGUCAAGUGCAACAUCCACAGGCUCCCGUCUGGUCCGUACCGCUCACCCACCAUCGCCGCUGGGUCGGCCCCUCCGCGCCCUUCCCAGUCGCUAGCGGUUGUCCUCCGCCCGCUCCCCUGACUCCUAGCGACGCGCAGGGGAUCCACUCGGCGACAACGCUUCAAGCCGACAUGAGUGGUCAAAUUUACAGUCUGUGAGGAGAUCCAGUAUGGGUUGGGCAUGCAAGAUGGCCACCCCUGAUGCCAUAGACGAAGCAGAGGCGACAAACACCCUGCUACAGCAACCAGCUACCACAACACUUGAUCCUGAUGCUCACCUAGUACCUGGCCAGGAUGCGCAACCUCCCGUCGGAAGAAGAAAGCCGUGCAGAAACGGCAUGGAAACCCGCCUCCGCCUCCUAGCUCUACUAUCACACCAGAAUACAGCAAAGCUAACACAUCAACCAAUGACUCGGCAGAAAAAUCAUGUCCGGCGAACUCCUAGGAUCUCCGCCGGUGUUGGGAGUAAAGAUACACUUGUGGUGAAGUAAUAAUUUUAAGAGGCAAUUGCGUGAAAAUACUACUCCAAUGUUUUGAAAUUACUUCCUUGCAGUUGCUGAGCAUAUUACUUCUUUCUGUUUUGAAAUUACUUCUUUGAAAAAUAAAGAUGUCAAAAUCAUUAUAAACAUGAUGUAGUAAAUAUGAAAUACUUUUCAAAUUUGAAAUUACUACUCCAAAGACUUACUUCUCAGAAUAA